AGUGAACGCUGGCGGUAGGCCUAACACAUGCAAGUCGAACGGCAGCACAGUAAGAGCUUGCUCUUACGGGUGGCGAGUGGCGGACGGGUGAGGAAUACAUCGGAAUCUACUUUUUCGUGGGGGAUAACGUAGGGAAACUUACGCUAAUACCGCAUACGACCUACGGGUGAAAGCAGGGGAUCUUCGGACCUUGCGCGAUUGAAUGAGCCGAUGUCGGAUUAGCUAGUUGGCGGGGUAAAGGCCCACCAAGGCGACGAUCCGUAGCUGGUCUGAGAGGAUGAUCAGCCACACUGGAACUGAGACACGGCCCAGACUCCUACGGGAGGCAGCAGUGGGGAAUAUUGGACAAUGGGCGCAAGCCUGAUCCAGCCAUACCGCGUGGGUGAAGAAGGCCUUCGGGUUGUAAAGCCCUUUUGUUGGGAAAGAAAAGCAGCAGGUUAAUACCCCGCUGUUCUGACGGUACACAAAGAAUAAGCACCGGCUAACUUCGUG
rnacentral:rRNA from 1 species